rnacentral:misc_RNA from 1 species
UUAACUAUUAAAAUAUAGUACUCAGACGACACUAACAAUUCAGAGUUUGUUUUUCCUCCGGCAGGCGACUCCCAGGCCCGAAGGCGCUGGGGCUGUCCCCCGAGGGGUGCAGCAACCUGCCAAAGCAACAUAGUAUAAAUACACAAGGGUGGGAGGUCUACCCGUGAGGGCAUGAACUCUGUAAUGAUCCUUCCGCAGGUUCACCUACGGAAA